CUCAGAUUGAACGCUGGCGGCAGGCCUAACACAUGCAAGUCGAGCGGUAGCACAGAGAGCUUGCUCUCGGGUGACGAGCGGCGGACGGGUGAGUAAUGUCUGGGAAACUGCCUGAUGGAGGGGGAUAACUACUGGAAACGGUAGCUAAUACCGCAUAAUGUCGCAAGACCAAAGUGGGGGACCUUCGGGCCUCAUGCCAUCAGAUGUGCCCAGAUGGGAUUAGCUAGUAGGUGGGGUAACGGCUCACCUAGGCGACGAUCCCUAGCUGGUCUGAGAGGAUGACCAGCCACACUGGAACUGAGACACGGUCCAGACUCCUACGGGAGGCAGCAGUGGGGAAUAUUGCACAAUGGGCGCAAGCCUGAUGCAGCCAUGCCGCGUGUGUGAAGAAGGCCUUCGGGUUGUAAAGCACUUUCAGCGGGGAGGAAGGCGUUAAGGUUAAUAACCUCAUCGAUUGACGUUACCCGCAGAAGAAGCACCGGCUAACUCCGUGCCAGCAGCCGCGGUAAUACGGAGGGUGCAAGCGUUAAUCGGAAUUACUGGGCGUAAAGCGCACGCAGGCGGUCUGUCAAGUCGGAUGUGAAAUCCCCGGGCUCAACCUGGGAACUGCAUUCGAAACUGGCAGGCUAGAGUCUUGUAGAGGGGGGUAGAAUUCCAGGUGUAGCGGUGAAAUGCGUAGAGAUCUGGAGGAAUACCGGUGGCGAAGGCGGCCCCCUGGACAAAGACUGACGCUCAGGUGCGAAAGCGUGGGGAGCAAACAGGAUUAGAUACCCUGGUAGUCCACGCCGUAAACGAUGUCGAUUUGGAGGUUGUGCCCUUGAGGCGUGGCUUCCGGAGCUAACGCGUUAAAUCGACCGCCUGGGGAGUACGGCCGCAAGGUUAAAACUCAAAUGAAUUGACGGGGGCCCGCACAAGCGGUGGAGCAUGUGGUUUAAUUCGAUGCAACGCGAAGAACCUUACCUGGUCUUGACAUCCACAGAACUUUCCAGAGAUGGAUUGGUGCCUUCGGGAACUGUGAGACAGGUGCUGCAUGGCUGUCGUCAGCUCGUGUUGUGAAAUGUUGGGUUAAGUCCCGCAACGAGCGCAACCCUUAUCCUUUGUUGCCAGCGGUUAGGCCGGGAACUCAAAGGAGACUGCCAGUGAUAAACUGGAGGAAGGUGGGGAUGACGUCAAGUCAUCAUGGCCCUUACGACCAGGGCUACACACGUGCUACAAUGGCAUAUACAAAGAGAAGCGACCUCGCGAGAGCAAGCGGACCUCAUAAAGUAUGUCGUAGUCCGGAUUGGAGUCUGCAACUCGACUCCAUGAAGUCGGAAUCGCUAGUAAUCGUAGAUCAGAAUGCUACGGUGAAUACGUUCCCGGGCCUUGUACACACCGCCCGUCACACCAUGGGAGUGGGUUGCAAAAGAAGUAGGUAGCUUAACCUUCGGGAGGC
rnacentral:rRNA from 1 species